CUGAGCUGUCGGAUUCGUCAAAAUGGGUGGUGGUGGUGGUGGUGGCUAUGAUAGUUUUUUGCGACGUCUUAGAUUUGGUGGUGGUGGCUACGGCUUAGAUCUGGUGGUGGUGGCGACGACUCUAUUGUGUUGUUGGUGGCUCUGUUCAGUGGUGGCUCUUCCGGUGACGGCGUUGCUCUAUUGUGGUGGUUAAUCUGUUGAUCUGUUGGGCUUGAUCAGUUUUGUCGUAAGGUAGUGGUGGUUGAUGUGGCGAAAGUGCUCUGUUGUGGUGGUGAGUCUGUUCGUGUGCUGUGGUGUUGAUAGGUUGUCUUGAGGUGGUGGUGGCUCUGUUGGCGAAGGCUCUAUUGUGGUGGUGGCGGUAAUGGUGAUAGAGAUGGUCAAGGCGGUGGUCGUGGAUGGGAUGAGAUGGGAUUGGAUGCUUGUGACCAUGGUGCGUGG
rnacentral:lncRNA from 1 species